ACAGUCUGAAAAUGGGCCCGGGUCUCUCAGUGGUCUGGGUUCAGAUAACUGUGCCGACAUUAUUUUGGUGCGUUAAGCUUAUUGCGAGUCUCCCGGUGUCAUCGUGAUAAAACCCAUGUACCAACAAAC